rnacentral:rRNA from 1 species
CAUGCAAGUCGAACGAGAAUCUUUGAACAGAACUUUUCGGAGUGACGUUCAAAGAGGAAAGUGGCGGACGGGCGAGUAACGCGUGAGUAACCUGCCCAUAAGAGGGGGAUAAUCCAUGGAAACGUGGACUAAUACCGCAUGUUGUAGUUAAGUUGCAUGACUUGAUUAUGAAAGAUUUAUCGCUUAUGGAUGGACUCGCGUCAGAUUAGAUAGUUGGUGAGGUAACGGCUCACCAAGUCAACGAUCUGUAGCCGAACUGAGAGGUUGAUCGGCCGCAUUGGGACUGAGACACGGCCCAGACUCCUACGGGAGGCAGCAGUGGGGAAUAUUGCGCAAUGGGGGCAACCCUGACGCAGCAACGCCGCGUGCAGGAAGAAGGUCUUCGGAUUGUAAACUGUUGUCGCAAGGGAAGAAGACAGUGACGGUACCUUGUGAGAAAGUCACGGCUAACUACGUGCCAGCAGCCGCGGUAAUACGUAGGUGACAAGCGUUGUCCGGAUUUACUGGGUGUAAAGGGCGCGUAGGCGGACUGUCAAGUCAGUCGUGAAAUACCGGGGCUUAACCCCGGGGCUGCGAUUGAAACUGACAGCCUUGAGUAUCGGAGAGGAAAGCGGAAUUCCUAGUGUAGCGGUGAAAUGCGUAUAUAUUAGGAGGAACACCAGUGGCGAAAGCGGCUUUCUGGACGACAACUGACGCUGAAGCGCGAAAGUGUGGGGAGCAAACA